UCCAGAUUGUAACACCGCCGUCGCUCCUACCGAUUGAGUGAUCCGGUGAAUAAUUCGGACUGACGCAGUGCUCAGCUUCUGGACGUUGUGUUGGAAAGUUUCAUGAACCUUAUCACUUAGAGGAAGGAGAAGUCGUAACAAGGUUUCCGUAGGUGAACCUGCAGAAGGAUCAAUGAUCCUUCUGCAGGUUCACCUACGGCUACCUUGUUACGACUUCACCCCAGUCCUUAACUUCAUAAUAAAUAAGUUAAAAAACAACGUUAAUUUUAGAAAAAGAAUAAUAAAAAAAAGGUUAUUUUUACUUAAAAAAAAAUAAUAUUGUUUUUUAAAUAUUUUCAAAUGGAACCAAUUUCCAUGGCGU
rnacentral:misc_RNA from 1 species